rnacentral:rRNA from 1 species
AUGGGCUGGUCUUUUGGGGACCAACUUGGCGAUGUGAUUGCCGUUUCCCAUAGAAACCACAUGAUCGUAGAGAAGUUUUUGCGUUUAAGGGUGGAAAUCCCACUACAUGAACCUCUUAAGACAUCAGUAGAGUUCACUCCGUUAGGUAGUUCUAAGAGGAUUCAGUAUGAUGUUCGAUAUGAAAAACUUCCACUGUAUUGUGAGUGUUGUGGGAUUGUAGGCCAUACAUCAGAGAGCUAUUGUAGCAUACCAAAAGAAAAAAGAGUAGCUUCUUUUCCAAAGAACCUUAGCGUAGAAGCAUAUUGGAAAGGAAUAGGUUCAAGCAAAAGAGCAAUUCAGUUCGCUGGCUCCAGCAACAAGUACACCUCCAGAGCUACGGAGGGAAGUGUGGUCAAGGUGACCAAAGCCGUGGGUGAACUCACGGUGACGGACAAGAUCGCUACGGCUACCAUGACGACGGGUGUUGCGGCCAUCGGAGGGCCUCCCACUCGGCCAGGAGGGCGGGGUACUUGUGGCUCCCCCGCCAACUGCACCAGGUGCUGGCACCGGUCAGGAGGACCGGUCGGCGCCUCCGACAGCACCUGCCGACUCUGGCCUGGAGGGCCAGGGGACGGGGGCCUGGAGCUGUGCAAAACUCGGCCAGGAGGGUCUUGA